rnacentral:rRNA from 1 species
GAUGAACGCUGGCGGCGUGCCUAAUACAUGCAAGUCGAGCGAACGGACGAGAAGCUUGCUUCUCUGAUGUUAGCGGCGGACGGGUGAGUAACACGUGGAUAACCUACAUAUAAGACUGGGAUAACUUCGGGAAACCGGAGCUAAUACCGGAUAAUAUUUUGAGCCGCAUGGUUCAAAAGUGAAAGACGGUCUUGCUGUCACUUAUAGAUGGAUCCGCGCUGCAUUAGCUAGUUGGUAAGGUAACGGCUUACCAAGGCAACGAUGCAUAGCCGACCUGAGAGAGUGAUCGGCCACACUGGAACUGAGACGCGGUCCAGACUCCUACGGGAGGCAGCAGUAGGGAAUCUUCCGCAGUGGGCGAAAGCCUGACGGAGCAACGCCGCGUGAGUGAUGGAGGUCUUCGGAUCGUAAAACUCUGUUAUGAGGGAAGAACAUAUGUGUAAGUAACUGUGCACAUCUUGACGGUACCUAAUCAGAAAGCCACGGCUAACUACGUG